UAGGGAAUCUUCCGCAAUGGGCGAAAGCCUGACGGAGCAACGCCGCGUGAGUGAUGAAGGUCUUCGGAUCGUAAAACUCUGUUAUUAGGGAAGAACAAAUGUGUAAGUAACUAUGCACGUCUUGACGGUACCUAAUCAGAAAGCCACGGCUAACUACGUGCCAGCAGCCGCGGUAAUACGUAGGUGGCAAGCGUUAUCCGGAAUUAUUGGGCGUAAAGCGCGCGUAGGCGGUUUUUUAAGUCUGAUGUGAAAGCCCACGGCUCAACCGUGGAGGGUCAUUGGAAACUGGAAAACUUGAGUGGAGAAGAGGAAAGUGGAAUUCCAUGUGUAGCGGUGAAAUGCGCGGAGAUAUGGGGGAACACCAGUGGCGAAGGCGACUUUCUGGUCUGUAACUGACGCUGAUAUGCGAAAGCGUGGGGAUCAAACAGG
rnacentral:rRNA from 1 species